UACAGAGGUGACUAACGUUGUCCGGAAUUAUUGGGCGUAAAGGGCGCGUAGGUGGUCAGGUAAGUCAGGUGUGAAAGCUCUGGGCUUAACCCAGGAAUUGCAUCUGAUACUGCUUGGCUUGAGUACGGUAGAGGAGGGUGGAAUUCCCAGUGUAGCGGUGAAAUGCGUAGAGAUCGGGAGGAACACCAGUGGCGAAGGCGGCUACCUGGACCAGCACUGACACUGAGGCACGAAAGCGUGGGGAGCAAACAGG
rnacentral:rRNA from 1 species